GAUGAACGCUAGCGGGAGGCUUAAUACAUGCAAGUCGAACGGUAAGGUCUCUGCUUGCAGAGAUACACGAGUGGCGCACGGGUGAGUAACGCGUACACUACCUACCUUAGAGAAGGGCAUAGCCCCGGGAAACUGGGAUUAAUACCCUAUAGUAUUGCUGAUUAAUAUUAGUAAUUAAAGGCUUCGGCUGCUCUAAGAUGGGUGUGCGUCUCAUUAGCUAGUUGGUAAGGUAACGGCUUACCAAGGCGACGAUGGGUAGGGGGCGUGAGAGCGUGGACCCCCACACGGGUACUGAGACACGGACCCGACUCCUACGGGAGGCAGCAGUAAGGAAUAUUGGACAAUGGAGGCAACUCUGAUCCAGCCAUCCUGCGUGUAGGAAGACUGCCCUAUGGGUUGUAAACUACUUUUAUAUGGGAAGAACUGCAUUCAUUUAUGAGUGUUUGACGGUACCAUAAGAAUAAGCACCGGCUAACUCCG
rnacentral:rRNA from 1 species